rnacentral:sRNA from 1 species
AUUUCCGGGUCACUGUAGAUGUGAUGGCGCCGAUUCCGAAGACUGUGGGGCGGAUCAAGCUAGACUGCCCUCUACGGCCCAGCUGCCCACUGGAGGUCGCUGCUGUACCCAAACUUUGCAAGGAAUUCGGUCCAGAGGAUUACGGCGAAGAGGACAUAGUGGAUUUUCUUCGACGGCUUGUGGAGAGUGAUCCCCAGGGCCUGCACCGGAUCCAUGUGGAUGGGAGCAGCGGGCGGCUGCAGCUGUGGCACCAUGAUUACCUCCUGGGCCACUUGGAUGAUGAAGGGAAAUCAAUUGGACAGAGUGACAGGGGCAAGGGGGCUGAGGGACUGGGCACCUACUGUGGUCUCCGCAAGUCCUUCCUAUAUCCUCCCCAGGAGUCUGAGCCCUGCCCUCAAAGCCCCUCUGCCUCUGCCACCUUCCCCAGUGUCUCAGACAGCCUGCUUCAGGUGGCCAUGCCCCAGAAGCUCCUGGUGACAGAAGAGGUGAGAUUCUCAGGAGAGGGCUUUGCCGUCCCCCAGGGUUCUUUCAAUCCCCGUAUCCCCAUCCCUAUAUUCUCCCCUAAUUGGUACCUUUCAAGAUCCUUCUGUACUGCCUGCCCCCUUUCAUGUUUGCUCUCCAUUUCCCUGUUUCUCCCUUUUUCUGUCACCUGCCCUUCGUCCUUCAGGAAGCCAACCGCCUGGCUGAGGAGCUGGUGGCUGAGGAGGAGCGCAUGAAACAGAAAGCAGAGAAGAAGCGACUCAAGAAGAAGGUGGCUAGAGCAUGGCUGGAGGGUGCAGGGGAGCCAAAGGGAUUUGGGAGAGGGAAAGAGGAAGCUUUGUGGGAACAGGAGAGAGCUCAAGAUGGCCUGCAGUGGACUCUCUUGCCAGGAGGACACAAGGGGCCCAGGGACUGGGGGGUCUCUCACAGGCCAUCUGGUGCAGUGGUUCCGGAAUCCUACUGUGCUGCCUAGGUAGGAAUCUGCCUCCUUACAUGAGGCCUCUUGCUGGUGCCUCUCUUGUCUGCUUUUUCACCUGCAAAAUGAGGAUAAUAAUGAUGCCUGUCUCACAGAGCUGCAAAGAUGGAAUGAGAAAUCUUAGCCCAGCACAUGACAUACAGUAAGUGUUCAAAAUACAUCAUUGUUACCAUUACUAUUGCAGCGUCAAAAGGAACGAAAGCGACAGGAGCGUUUGGAGCAGUACUGUGGAGAGCCCAAGGCCAGCACUACCUCAGAUGGAGAUGAGAGCCCCCUAUCCAGCCCUGGAAACCCAGUUCAGGGGCAGUGUGGUGAAGAAGAGGACUCACUGGAUCUAUCUAGCACUUUCGUGUCUCUGGCUUUGCGCAAGGUUGGGGAUUGGCCCCUCAGUGCCCGCAGAGAGAAGGGACUGAACCGGGAGCCCCAAGGCAGGGGCCUGGCCCUCCAGAAGAUAGGUCAAGAGGAAGAGAGCCCUCCAAGAGAGGAGAGGCCCCAGCAGAGUCCAAAGGCACAGGCAUCUCCGGGACUGCUGGCAGCUGCCUUACAACAGAGCCAGGAACUGGCAAGUGAGAUCCUUUCUCUCUCCCUCCUCACCCCACCCUCCCUGGGGUAGCCCCAUCUGAACCUUCUCACCCUCUUUCCUUUCCAGAGUUGGGUACCAGCUUUGCUCAAAAUGGUUUCUACCAUGAGGCCGUGGUCCUCUUCACCCAGGCCUUGAAGCUCAACCCCCAGGACCACCGGUAGGUGGGGGCUUGGCCAGGGCAGGGCAGAGUGUUGAGGACUCAGACCUUUGGCCACCUUCUGUCUUUAUCAGGUUAUUUGGAAAUCGUUCCUUCUGCCAUGAGCGGUUGGGUCAGCCAGCGUGGGCCCUGGCUGAUGCCCAGGUGGCCCUUACCUUACAGCCUGGCUGGCCUCGGGGCCUCUUCCGCCUGGGCAAGGCCUUGAUGGGAUUACAGGUAAUAGGUCUGGGGCUGGAAACAGGAGAGAUUUGAGUGGGAUGGAGUAGGGAGAGGGUCUAUGUUGACUUUCUAGAUAAGCUUCUAGGACCAAAGUGUCACAAUGGUUGUGGUACUAGGAGCAGGGGCCAGUUUUAGAAAUGGUACUUUUAAGCUCCUUGACACCUAAUCUUUUCUUUCUGAUCCCUCUGGGACCAAAGCGCUUCAGAGAAGCAGCUGCUGUGUUUCAGGAAACUCUGAGAGAUGGGUCCCAGCCUGACGCAGCCCGAGAGCUCCGCUCUUGCCUUCUCCAACUCACACUGGUAAGGGGGCCAGGCACACUGUCAUGCUGAGGCAGGUAUCAGGGAGAAUUGGCUGGGACUGCAAUACCAAACCUCAGGUGGCUAAGGAGGGGGCGGGGAAGGAUGGGUGGAAUGAGAGGCAUGGGCUGUCCUGCUUAAAAGAAGGAUCUGGUGCCCUUCUCUCUCCCUUCUCAGCAGGGUCAGCGAGGAGGAAUCUGUGCACCACCUCUGUCACCUGGGGCCCUCCAGCCACUUCCCCAUGCUGAGCUGGCACCCUCAGGCCUACCUUCCCUCAGGUGCCCUCGAAGCACUGCUCGGAGGUCCCCUGGCCUGUCUCCACUCUUGCAUUAUCCUUCAUGUCACCGAAGCCACCCCAACCAGCCCCUCUCCCAGACUCAGAGUAGAAGGCCCCAUCCUCUCCAGCCCCAGGACCCUUCAAAGCGCUGGGACAUCCUGGGACUUGGGCUCCAGCAUCUACCUCAGGCCAGAUGAGGGGGCACCGGUCCCUCAUAGGGCAGGGCCAUGUAUAUAUCCCAUGGUGGGGGACAUAGCGUGGUGACAGUUCACUGCAUAUUUUGAGACCUUAUUCUCUAGAUCCAUAGUUAAUGAUGCCCCUGGCAGUCAUUCCUCUUGCCAUGGGGAAGCUUCUGAUGAGAGAAAGGAGCCCCACAUCCACUGAAACAUCCUUUGGUUCUCAAGCUUCUUCUGGAGGCAGUAAGGAAAAAUAAAACCCACCAAGGCUCAAGAAGGGAACUAUAGAAAAGUUCAGGUUUCUAGGCCAUAGCAGAGACAGUGAGAAAGCAUCUGGGCCUUGCUCUUCCUCUUGGUCCGGGGGACCUCAUUCACCAACUAGAGCUUGGUAUACAGGAACGGGGUCACAGUGCUGAGGGGGGUUGAGUCCCACCUUUCAGUUUGAUGGAUGCUCACCUCUUCUCAGCCCCAGCUCAUGCCCUGUUUUUCUAGCCAUAGCCCCCAGAUUACUCACAGCUCCUCAUGCCAUUUUCUGUCCAGAUUGCUGUGUGUGACUCUGACCUCUCUUGUCCAGUGGUCUGGUGCUCACCUCCUCUCACUGCUAGAAUAUUCACCAAGGGUUUGCAUUUGGGAAGUCCCUUACCAGCUCCUGCUUAGAGCUGGUAGGGCCAUACAUGUCCACACUCCCAACUGGUGGCUCUCCCGCUAAAUGGGGCCUCAGCAGGUGCCCAGGCUGCUACAACCUUGGCCUCUCUGUUUCUCCACCCCAGCAUUGGGCAUUGUAAUUAGCCUUUCCCCAUGUUAAUUUAUUCAGUUUUUUCAAGGGUCAACUGAAUUCACCACUUUCUGGGUAAGAAUCAUGAUCUCCUUUUAAUUUCACCUCUAAGAUCCUGGCAGCUUCCCCUAGCUGGUUCCUCUGUAGUCCUGCUGAGACUGUCAGCUCAUUUAAAUGUGGGUCUGCAGGAGGCUUUAGGUCUCCCCCAACCCCCUUGCCUUUCACAGAGGAACCAUUCAUCAGGAUAAAUGAUUAUUGCUGCCCUGUGGGUCUUGCUCAAUACUGUUCAUACCUGGAGAGAGGAGGUAUUGAAACAUCUCCUUUAUGUGUGACUUUCCUAAAUUUUUAAAAAUUGUUUAUGGUUUAGGCCCAUUAAAUACUGUGUAGCAGGAUGAAGUCUACCAUUACCAGCUGGGUCACCUUGGAUGGGUCUGUCAACAUCUAAGCCUCAGUUCCCUCACCUGUAAAAAUGAGGGUAGUCCCUACCUCAUAAGGGAUAUUGUGAGGAUGGAAAGCAAAAGUGUGAGAAAAUACCUCCCAAGUGCCUGGUACAUAGUGGGUGCUAAAUAAACCAAUUUUUGUCUGCAA